AUCCUGGCUCAGGAUGAACGCUAGCGACAGGCUUAACACAUGCAAGUCGAGGGGCAGCAUGAUUUGUAGCAAUACAGAUUGAUGGCGACCGGCGCACGGGUGAGUAACGCGUAUGCAACUUACCUAUCAGAGGGGGAUAGCCCGGCGAAAGUCGGAUUAAUACCCCAUAAAACAGGGGUCCCGCAUGGGAAUAUUUGUUAAAGAUUCAUCGCUGAUAGAUAGGCAUGCGUUCCAUUAGG
rnacentral:rRNA from 1 species